GACUCCUUCGGGGUUCGGUCCCCACGGGUCCCUCACUCCUUCUUUAAAAAGGGGUUCCCCCCCCGCGGGGCGG
rnacentral:tRNA from 1 species